CCCCAAUGUAGAGGAGGCCACAUUGUGAGCAGUGAAUACAGUAGAGUAGAUUCUGGGAAAUGCAGGUGAAAUGUUGCUUCACCUGGAAGGCUUUCAGGAUGGCUUUUCCAGAAUACCUGUGUAUCCUCAACUUUCCAAUUUGGGCAGACUGUGAUGUUUCUCAAUCAUUGCAAACAGAGCUACAAAACUCUCUCCGAGUCUACACUUGGUUCCACCGAUGUAGAGGAGGCCACAUUAGGAGCAGCGGAUGCAAUAGACGAAGUCGACGGAUGUGCA